rnacentral:rRNA from 1 species
UACGUAGGUGGCGAGCGUUGUCCGGAUUUACUGGGCGUAAAGAGCGCGCAGGCGGUCGUUCAAGUCGCGUGUGAAAGCCCCCGGCUCGACUGGGGAGGGUCACGCGAUACUGAUCGACUCGAAGGCAGGAGAGGGAAGUGGAAUUCCCGGUGUAGUGGUGAAAUGCGUAGAUAUCGGGAGGAACACCAGUGGCGAAGGCGACUUCCUGGCCUGUUCUUGACGCUGAGGCGCGAAAGCUAGGGGAGCAAACGGG